rnacentral:rRNA from 1 species
AGGAUGAACGCUGGCGGUGUGCCUAAUACAUGCAAGUCGAACGAGACCUUCGGGUCGAGUGGCGGACGGGUGAGUAACACGUUGGUACCUACCCCGAAGUGGGGAAUAACUGCCCGAAAGGGUGGCUAAUACCGCAUAAUACCGCAAGGUUAAAGCGAGUAAUCGCGCUUCGGGAGGGGCCUGCGUCCCAUUAGCUAGUUGGUAGGGUAAUGGCCUACCAAGGCGACGAUGGGUAGCUGGAUCGAGAGGUUGACCAGCCACACUGGGACUGAGAUACGGCCCAGACUCCUACGGGAGGCAGCAGUAAGGAAUCUUCCACAAUGGACGAAAGUCUGAUGGAGCAACACCGCGUGCAGGAUGACGGUCUUCGGAUUGUAAACUGUCUUUUAUAUGGGAAGAUUAUGACGGUACCAUAUGAAUAAGGACCGGACUAACUACGCGCCAGCAGCCGAC